rnacentral:rRNA from 1 species
UACAGAGGUCUCAAGCGUUGUUCGGAUUCAUUGGGCGUAAAGGGUGCGCAGGCGGUGUGGUAAGUCGGAUGUGAAAUUUAGAGGCUUAACCUCUAAACUGCAUCUGAUACUACCAUGCUAGAGGACUGUAGAGGAGAUUGGAAUUCACGGUGUAGCAGUGAAAUGCGUAGAUAUCGUGAGGAAGACCAGUGGCGAAGGCGAAUCUCUGGGCAGUUCCUGACGCUCAUGCACGAAGGCUAGGGGAGCAAACGGG